rnacentral:misc_RNA from 1 species
GCAAACUUGGUCAUUUAGAGGAAGUAAAAGUCGUAACAAGGUUUCCGUAGGUGAACCUGCGGAAGGAUCAUUAUUGAAACAUUGUGAAGGAAGUUGAGCUGGCUCUUCUAGUGCAUGUGCUCGCUUUCUUUCAAUACUCAUCCACCUGUGCACAUUUUGUAGAGGAUCUGGAAUGGGGCGAAAGCCCUUAGUACAGGUCUUCUAUGUCUUUACACACACUUAAUGUAUGUCUAGAAUGUCGUUUAUUGGGACUUAGUUGGCCCUUUAAAACUAUACAACUUUCAGCAACGGAUCUCUUGGCUCUCGCAUCGAUGAAGAACGCAGC